rnacentral:lncRNA from 1 species
CCAAGACAUACUGGCUACAAAUAUAUUAACGUAUGGCAUUUUACAGAGUGACUUAAAUAUUAUGGAUUAAUCAAAAAAGGUGUCAUUAUUUAUAUAAUAAAAUGCCUUCCUUUAGAUAAGCUCUGAACUCAAGAUUGUUUAGGUUUAAAUCUUGCUCACUACUUACUAGCUGUAUGACCUUGGAUGUAAGUUACUCCUGUCCUUAUUUCAUAGGAUUAUCCUCAAAGUACUUAGGAAUUCAUUGGGUUAAGGUUCUGAAAGAUAGGAAGUCUCAAGAUCAAGGGGCCAGCCUCUGGUAAGGGCCUUGUGCAUCAUCACAUGGUGAAGAGUAUAGAGCAAGAGGGACUGGAACCUACUUCCAAAUAACAGUGUUAGUCCCUGUUAUGGCGUAGAUAUAAGGUAUCCCCCAAAAGCUCAUAUGAAAGUCACUGCAGGAAUUUUCAGGAGUAAAGUGGUUGUAUUGUGAGAAUUGUAACCUAAUUAAGUGGAUUGAUCCACUGAUGUGAACUGCAGGUGGAAUGUGGCUUGAGGAAAUAGAUUACUGGUGAGUGGAGCUCUUUGUGCUUCUUGGUUUCCAUGCCCUUCCACCAUGAUGUUCUGCCUCACCUUGGGUCCACAGCUAUGAAGUCAGCCAGCCAUGGACUGAACCUCUAAAAUCGAGCCAAAAUUUUACUCCUUUAAUUGUUCUUGUCAGGUCUUUUGGUCACAGUGAUGAAAAAGCUGACUAAAACAUCCCUUAAUGCCACCAGAGCCCUCAUAACCUAAAACACCUCUGCAAGGUCUUACCUUUCAGUGCUGUCACACUGGCAAUUAAAUUUCAAUUUAAGUUUGG